CGGUUGCAGGACCCUCCCUCCGCUAACGGCCGGCCAGGGUGGCCCUAACGGCCCGGGUGGCCCUAACGCAAGCCCUACUGGUGGUGGCUGCGAGAAACGCAAAGGGGAAGGAGAAAAGAGGCCUGAAGAAGGUGACUUGCUUGACCAACAGAACGUAGCACGAGUGAAAUUCUAAGAUUUCCAAGGCCAGGUCAUAAGAAGUCUUGCAGCUUCCACCCAGCCCUUUGAAGAACUCACUCUGGUGAUCCUGAGUCACCUUGGAAGAAGUCUGACUCCCUUCAGGUCAUCAUGCUAGAGAGGCCACACGUGUGCCAGUCAACAUGCCAGCUGAGCCCAGUCUUCCAGCCGAGGCACCAUACUGGAAGAAGCUUUGGGAGGCAACUUGGCAGGCCUGGAGAGAAGAGACGUCUCUCCCACAGCAUCAGCAAACUAACACAUCAGAAGAGGGACUGAUGGGCUGUCCGCUUUGCCCAGAACCCCACCCAGCUGCUAGAACCUGCUGGCUGUCUCCCGGGCCCUCCGCUCCUCCGGGGACCCUGUGCUGUUGUCCUGCGGUUUGCGCCAUUCCUUACCUCACGUUACUAAACCAAUAGCACUAUUUGUGGUCAUUUUUGGCAGAUUACCACAUCUUGUUCAUUGAGAAUGUCUUUUACUCCCUAAUGUAUUUACCUCUCGUGGACUUAAUGUGACUGAAUAAUGACCGUCUUUGCAGGAGCAGAAGAGCCUUUGCAACUACUGGCAUUACAUAAACACUUGGAAUCUUGCAGCCGUGGGCCUGUGCUGGGUGAGGGAGGAAGUGGGAAGGUUUGGUGCUGGGCUGAGCGGCACAUGGCAGACCCUCAGCGGGGUCAGGAGAGGCCAGGGAGGCCCUUGUGAGGCCUGAGGAGAGCCGUCUUGGGCAGUGGCUGCUCUCACACCUCCUCCUCUUUUUUUUUUUUGCUUGUUAGGGCCUGUAAACAUGCUGUAAACAACUGGUACUUGAGGAACCAGGAGAGAGAGAGCACCAGGACACGCUGUUACGUAACUGAACCCUCGACGCCCCUUGAGAAUGACAUGUUUGCAAGUUCCCAGGGACUGAUGCUACUGGGGCAACGAGGGAGAGAAGCCCCGCUUCAUCCUCCCCUUCCUCCUCCUCGGCCCACAUUUCCUCCUGUGGAAAUACUGGCUACCACGAGGGGUUCUAGCUUCAGCGCUGCGUUUUCUUGCCUGUGGCCCUUGUGACUGGCAUAGAAAUAAUUCAGCUGUUUCCAUUUUAAUUCCUCACCACAUGGCCAGAAUUGCUUAUCAAUGUAUAUUUUAAAAGGACAAAAAAAAUAUUUUAGGAGUUCCUGUUGUGGCGCAGUGGUUAACGAAUCCGACUAGGAACUAUGAGGUUGCGGGUUCGGUCCCUGCCAUUGCUCAGUGGGUUGACGAUCCGGCGUUGCCGUGAGCUGUGAUGUAGGUUGCAGACCUGGCUUGGAUCCCGAGUUGCUGUGGCUCUGGCGUAGGCCGGUGGCUACAGCUCCGAUUUGACCCCUAUCCUGGGAACCUCAAUAUGCCGCGGUAGCGGCCCAAGAAAUAGCAACAACAACAACAACAACAACAAAGACAAAAAAAAGACCAAAAAAAAAAAAAUAAUAAUAUUUUAAAAGCAAUUCCCAGAAUCGAGGGUUAUACUCUGCAGGUGGCCUGAGCCAGGACGGGGCUCACUCGGGAGGACCCUCAGGUGCCGUGUCAGUCUCCUCCCCCAGGUCUUCCACAUCCGAUUCUAUGGUCAGAAUCACAUCUGCCGGGGCUUCACUGACCUCCCUGGAAUGACAAGAAUAAUGCCAAGGCUUUUACUCUCCGAAGCAGCACGUAAACUUUUCAUUAUUUCCUUAUUUUACUUUUGCUUUUGAGGGCCGCGCUAGUGGCACAUGGAAGUUCCCAGGCUAGGGGUCAAAUCAGAGCUGCAGCUGCUGGCCUACCCCACAGCCACAGCAACACCAGGCCUGAGCCUCAUCUGUGACCUACACCACAGCUCACGGCAGUGCUGGAUCCUUAACCCGCUGAGCGGGGCUGGGGAUGGAACCCAAGUCCUCAUGGAUACUGGUCAGGUUCAUACCCCACGGAACCAUAAGAGGAACUCCUGUGUCCUCAUUUUAGACAAGAACUUCAAACUGUCCCCAGUCAUUUACCCUGCACCCUUGUGGAAGAUCUCUUCCUCAUCAGAAGACUCCUUAUCGUGCAGCUUCUCUGCCAUGUUUUUCUUGCGCGUAGCACUGAGAGGUCUGUACGUAUCCCGAAGCCAGAGUGGCCGCCUUCUCCAGAAAAACCCCUGCCUCGGCAACACAGAAAGGGAAAUGUUAAGUCUGCAUCUCCCCUGCUUUCUCCGGCCACGGGACGUUAUGCUCCCGAAAUUUACCUCGCUCUCGCUUUCUCCUGAGCGUCUCUUACGCAGCAGAAAUCCGAAAAAGCCCCUUGGAGGAAAACACACACAGUGAGUGACCCAUGCGCUCUCCAUCUCCCUUCCCGUGUGCUCGCUCUGGUCCUAUUAGGAUGAAAUGGAUAACUCAGUCCAUGAUCACAACAAGCACAAUCACCCCAGAUCUGGGAUCGGAAAAAUAAUGCCGUGCAGGCUGGCCUUCCAGAAGUUCUCCAUGUCUGUCCAAAACGGCCCUCCCGUUGUGUCUCUGGGGAGCCUUUGGCCUGUGGCUUAGCACGGAGCAUGGGUGGGACUUUCAGCCCCACUCAGCUUUGUGGCCCUCCCCCAAGUGCCCCUGUGCAGCGCAAACACUGCCCCAAUCAGGCGGGGCAGAAGAGCAUUAACCCUCUAGAAGCAUUUUACAUGAGUCCCCUUCAGACCUAGCAUCUCGUGUGGCAUUUGCUGGGCGGUAGGGGAGAAGGUGAUUCUCUUUUCCUAGGUGCUUUACUCCAGAAGUUGAAUCCCACCAAGUAAACACCCGAGUCCAACCAGUAAAGUUAUCUAGCUUGCUGACUUUGGUUUUUUGGUUUGUUUUGUUGCUUUUUAGGGCCAAAUCUGCGACAUAUGGAAGUUCCCAGGCUAGGGGUCAAAUUGGAGCUGCAGCUGCCGGCCUACACCACAGCCACAGCAAAGCAGGAUCCAAGCCACGUCUGUGACCUACACCACGGCUCACAGCAACGCUGGACCCUUAACUCACUGAGUGAGGCCAGGGAUCGAACCCGUGUCCUCGUGGUUACUAGCUGGAUUCGUUUCCCCCGAGCCAAGACAGGAGCUCCCAGCUUGCCAACUUUCAUACUGCAGGCUGUCACUGAAUUCUGAGAUCAGUUAAAGGCCAGGACUAGCCACAAAAAAUCUUCUUGUUGAACGCAAAGAGAAUAGAAAAAAAAGUCAGAGUGUACGCUAAGUUUGUUUUAGAAAUGACUGACGUCCAUAUAGUAUGUGUAUACUGACUUGUGAUAGGAAAUGGGGCUCACAGCCCAGGCUUGGAGGGACGUCCCCAGUGGAAAGGGCCCGUCUUCUUUUUGAUGCUCACUAGCAGUAAGGCAACGGGGCAAGACAUUUUCCCUUGCUCUUUCUCCACUUCCUUAUUAGAAAAGGCAGAAACAAACUACUGUCUCAAGUUUCUUCCAGUUCAAAUUCUAUGAGGUUUGGGUAAAGGGAAUAGAGAAUGGGGGCCGGAAGGCCAGCAGGACGAAAAGGGAAGUUUUCCUGCCACUUUAUCGGAAGGAGUCAUACUCUACAUUUCAUCCGCUUUGAGUGAGUCUAGCCCCCAAACUCCCAAAACCAUGCGGCCUUCCCUACCCCAGAGCCUCCACGAAGGCCUCUCCUGGUCUGAUGCCCACCACCAGCAGGAACAGGUACCACCCAAACUGCUGCCCCUCCACCCUUGUCCCUUAAAGGACUAGAGAAAGCAGAUGAAGCUGCACCACUCUCAUUCGAACUCAGCUUUGGCUGGGAGCUAAUUUUGCUGGUAAAUAAAGCAUUUAGGUAAAGACACAGUCUUCCCGCCUUCAGCCGUUUCUUCACUGUAAAAUGAGGAGACCAAAAGAGAUGAGUUCUAAGUUCUCUAGUUCCAAAAAACACUGUUUUAAAAGACCAGUGUUUACCUUCUGCGUCCUACUUUCCCUUCCCGUAAUGUUCUCCUUCGGGAAUAAACCUGUUUGGGAAGAAAACAUGACCACGAUUAGCCAUCACAACCAUUUUCUCCCAAUCUUUAUUCAUUCCUUUUUAUUUUAUCUUGAGUUCGACUCUACAGAGAUCUCCUUUAAAAGUCCUGGGAAUGUACUUUCAGUAAAAGAACCACAUGUAUUUCAGUCCUCAUGACUAAGGAGGGGGUUCGAGCAGUAGUAAGCGGAAAGGUGGCUGUGAUUUUCAGUUUGCGGGUUCUGAAUCUGAAUGAAUUGUUGUCCUUACCUCGAUGAGACAUAAAAUUACAAUCAAAAGCAUCAGCACUACAGCCACAGAUAUUGCCAAGAUGAGUUUGUUAUUAUACCCAUAUCCUGGAACAUCUUUUGUGAGCUAAAAAAAAAUAAAGAACAAUGUUUUAAAAAACAAGGGGAGAGAAAGGAUACAAGCUAACUAUUUUUAAACCUAUUCUAAACAAUAGCUAACCAUUCCCUUUUUUUUUGACCGAGCAUGCAUGCAGAAGUUCCGGGCCAGGGACCAAAUCUGCCCCACAGGAGUGACCCAAGCCAUAGCAAUGACAGCUCUGGAUCCUUCACCCGCUGCACCGCAAGGGAACUCCAGUAGCUAGUUCUUCUUAAACUAUUCUAAAACCCCAUUCUUUCAGAUUUCCCUCUGAGAAAUACGGCAGGAUGUAAUUGAGUGCACUGAUAACAUCACUUUCGUCACUAAAGUCCAACUGCUCAUUCAUGAAGCUCGACAAGCUGACACCACUCUUGUCUGAGGACGGCCUCUCUGGUUCAAUCAUCAGCUCGGUGCUGGUGUUCUUCUUCCGGGCUUGUAACACCUUCAUGAACGAUCCUUCUACAUCCCCUAGAGAUGUCUCUUUAUCUGUCAAAAGAGAAGAGACUGGUUUUGAUCCUUGAAGGCUGAUGGCACGGCUCUUGUCCACAGCCCUGUAUCCCAGUCAGACACCUUAGGCAUCAGCAAACCUCUGAGUGCCACUUAGAGAGCAGACAAAGAAACCCAAACUUAGACCUAUGAUUGGCAACAACCAAAGGUGCAAAAGGUAGCCUCCGAAAAAGCGGCUCUUUAUUCAGAGAAUUCCAUAACGUGAAAUACAGCAACUAUAUAUUUAGGAUUAUUCCCCUGGUCCCAGGACCCCAGAAAAGCCGAGGCUGGAAGACAAACACUCCCCGACUCAGCCGGGCCCUGCGGGUCUACUGCGACUCCUCCCUCAGGCUCACACACCCCAUCCUGUCCUGCCUCAGAAACAGAGGGGCUGCCUCCCCCCACCUCUUCAGUGUGCUUGUGUUCUGGCUGCUAUCACAGAUGACCACGACCACACCUGCAGCUCCCAGGUCCUCGCCUGGACUUGUCUUUCUCCAUCUGCCCACCGAGUCCUUUGCUCGGCCCCUGCUUCCAUAUAUCCCAGCCCUCACGACAGAAGGUUCUACCCAGAAAAAAACACUAUGUCCACCCUGGUUCUUUGCUAAAAUUUGGGCAGGGAUCUGGGGUGCAGGUUAAGAGAUUUUCCAGGCUGUAUGCCAAUGUGGAAGGUUAAUAUGUGAGGCCCUAGAAGGCAAAAGGGAAAAAGCAACUUCUGUCAGAAGCCUACUCUGCUUUCAUUUCACUUUGAAUAUUUCCAGCUCUGCUUGUGGAACCAUCCAAAGCUUCUGACUAGGUGAAGGUAAUGUGUACCACUGUGUAGCUGGGCUUCUCCUCCAGAAGGAUUAAAAGCAUUUGGGGUGGGGGUGGUGAGGGUCAGGGGAGGAGGUAAAGAGUCACAAGAAAGGAGCAGCACAGAUCGGGAGAGAGCCCAAAACCGGGGACAGGAGGUCUGAGCACUAGGCCACGACACUUAACGCCUCUGAUCUUGCUUUUCCUCACCUGUAAAAGGAGAUUAAAAAUGCCUUUUCUGCCCACUUCUGGAGGAGAAGGGAGUAAUACCAUUGGUCAAAAAUUUUUUUUUGAAAAAUAAGCAACCUCGACUUUAUAUAAAUAGCAAAGUGUUACCUAUAAUGUGUUCUAGAUCAUUGAUAGAGACACGUAUUCAAGCCAUCUGGGCAGGAAAGCAGGUUUUGGAAGUUCUCAAGUUAGUGUCCAUAAAUCUACUAUAUAGAAAAAUAGUUGAAAGCACCUAAGUGUUUUGUGGCUAGAGAAGCUUGAGAUUUAGAGCAAGUUCAGAGCUGGACAGUCUAAGAAUAAAAUAGCUCUCCUACCCAUUAGAAGGGCUAGAUCACAGCUUCUGGUUAUGGAACCAAAAAUUCUCAGAUUCCAAAUAAAACAUAAAACAGCAUCACUUGUACUCUUUUAUACAAUUGCAAGAAAAAAAACAAAAUAAGAAUACAUUUACACUCGUUGUGUAAGACAAAGGGUACUUGAGACUUAACGUACAUAAAAUCAGUGUACAGACUGGGAUGCACUAGAGGAAUAAGUUCUCAGUUGCAGGGAGCACCGAAUAUAAUAUGUUAAUUCCCUUCCCCUCUGCAUUCCUUUCUCUUGCUCCUGUAUGUGGAUCUGUCACAUUAUUAAGCUAAGGUAGCUGAGCUAUUAUUAGCUUAAUAAUGUAACCAAGAAUCUAGGGAGUUGGAACUCUGAAUGAAUAAAAAGAAGGCAAUUACAUCAUUAAUUUAACAAUUUAUCAUAAUUGAUGAAAAACAAACAUGAAAAAGGUUAUCAUCAGGCGAUUCGGACUCACCACAACGUGUGCUGUUUUUCAGGCAUCUGUCACAAUGCAGCUUGACUGUCUUGCAGACAACUUCAAUGUUACUUUUAAAUUGGCAGAGGCAGCAAGCCAUAUGGCUAGGCAAGAUCCUGUAAAUGGAAAUGCAGAGAAUUAAAUCUGUGGUAGAGGAGUUAUUUGAGUAGGUAGGAGAGGCAGGCCACAGCCACCACAGGGCGGUGCCAAAAGGAGUUCUUGGGGCAGAAGAACUGGAGAACUGGAGAGGGACUAGUUGGUCAAUUGCUGCUCUUGGCUGUUGUAAAUUAUGGAGGAGGACGGAGGUUCCCAACAGAAGGAUAAGGAUGGCAGCAGAGAGAGCGUGCCUAGAGAAAAAGGUGAUACGUAUUAGAGUAGGGUGACACUGGCCUGUAGUUUAAUUCAGAAGUAUCUCCUCCCAACCCAACAGCUCACUUGGAGUUGUGGAAAGUAACAAAGUGUCUUUUCUAUCAAAGGAAAUCUUGGUUACUCCAUUUUGCUCUGGCUGGGCCUCCGCUGAAUCAACCCUGCGAGACCCCCUUCCUCUUUACCUAUUUUCCCAGUAACAAUUUGUUCCAAAUUAGCCAACCGGGAAGAAUGUGCGCCCUGACCCGACCCAUGGGAAGGGGACAGGCACAUCACCUGCGUUAGGGAUAAAUAGGGGAGGGUCCUUUGUUCGGCGCGCACACUUUUUGGAGUGCCCGCGCCCUUCUGCAGAAGUAAAGAGCCUUGUCGAGAUUUCUCCUUGUCCACGUGUCUCACUUUCCAACACUGACGACCUGAGCCAGAGUUAUUGUAAUUUCCAACAGAGUUGACAGAACACACGAAGAGGGCAGACUUCUAAGAAAAGUCUGAACAAGUCCCCAACGUCUGGAGUCCCUUUCUCAAUUCCUAGUUGUGAGUCGUAAAGAUAUUAGAAAUUACUAAUCAACACGUGGCUAAACAAUAACAGAGAUUGUAUUGGCCAAAUCUGGACAAUCUGAACAUUCAAAAGAAGAAUAUGAGCAUUACAAUAAGGUAUAACAUAACUAAUUCGAAGAAGAGCACAUGAGUCCCUAAUGAUUCUUAUAAAGAAAAGAGGGAGAGCUCUUCUCUACAGAGUAAUAUUAGCUAAUAAAUGCAUAAGGAAUGAUAGCGUCAUCUUGGGAAUUCCCGCUGCGGUACAGCGGGUUAAGGAUCUGGUUGUCUCUGUGGAGGCGCCGGUUUGAUUCCUGGCCGAGUGCAAUGGUAAAGGAUCUGGAAUCGCCACAGCUGUAGCAGCUCUGGCUCAGAUCUGAUCCCUGGCCCAGGAGCUUCCAUAUGCUGUGGGGGCAGCCAAAAAAAGGGAAAGUGUCAUGUUGCAACUACCAAUGUAAUACCUGAUUCCAACAGAGAUUAUCAUGGAUGCACAGCUGGGUGACGAGUCGUUUGACAGUAGGAUCCUCACUGAUCCCAAAGCAUCACCCGGAUUAUUUAUUAACUACCAAGGGGGAAAAUAACUUUACAAUGAAGAGACAUGGAACAUAUCACCUUAAGCAAAUGAUCAAACAUAGCACUGGGCCACCGAAACUGAGCAAGUAGGAAGGAUACAAUGUCUAUGAAGUAGUCAUCCCCAAAAUGUUUACUUUGAAUCUAAUGAAGAAACAAACAAAUCCAGAUUGUAGGGCAAUUUACAAGACAACUGGCUUGGACUCUUCAAAAAUGCCAAUUUCAUAAAAGACCAAAAAAAGAAAAAAGAAAAACAGUAGAGAAAUACUCUCAAUUAAAAGAGACAAAGAUAUGACAUGAGAUGCCUAAUCUUUGAUUGGACCCUGUAGCAAAACAAAACAGACUUAAAGAAUGUCAUUGGUGGGGUUCCCGCUGUGGGACAAUGCGAUUAGGUGGCGUCCUGGGAGCGCACUGGGAUGCAGGUUU